CCUCGUUGCUAUGAGCUUUUAUCAAAUUUGUAGAAAUCCAGAUUCCUCAAAUUGAUGGGGAUAUGACAAGAAGAGAAAACUUCAUUGAUGUUCUUCGUGGGCAUAAAUGGCUGGCAAUGAGCCCCCUUAACAAGCUGCAGAUGGAGUAGAUGCUGAUAUGGCUGCUCUAGAAGCUGCAAUAUCCAAAGAAAGAUGUGUUGUCUCCUCCAAGCUGUUCACCCACCCUUUUGGAUUCUCCACCUUAAUCCGAAAAGCAAUUAGAGCUUCCAUUUGCUUAUUCAAAACAGCAGCCUCCUUCAUUACCUCCUCUACUUUAGAUUUGUAAAAUUUCGCAACUUUAUUAAACUCACCAUCAAGUUUUUCAAAGUAAACAAGUUCAUAUUGUCCUCCAUCAUCUGCAUCGAGAAACAUAGUUUCCAAGCUUUCUUCUCCAUUUUGUCUCACUGUAUUCACAAGAAUGACUUGAUUUUCAAGGUCUGAUGAAGUUUGGGGUUUAGGAGAAUUUCUUUUGGGCGUUAUUAGUCCACUGAAUGCUCUGUACAAGGUAAGAUUUUUUUUCCUGCUGCCAUCUUGCUUGAUAUUUGGAUUAUGUCUUCGGUUAAAAACUUGAAAUUCUUUCAAAAUGGUUUUCAGAAAAUUAUAAUCCAUGUAGGCCUCUUGCCAUUCUGGCACCAUUUAAUAUAUAAAUUAUUUACCAAACUUCAUGAUCUUUUCCCCUUUCCGUUAAGCAAAACUAUUGUUUAAUGCUAGUAAAAUAGAAAGUUUUGAGGAACUGAAGACCAAAAUGAGCAAACUAGAUGAGACCAGAAAUGUGAUUUUAUAGAUUAUAGAGAGAGAAGAAGAUUUUCAGCAUUUAGGUGGUCCAUAGUAACAUUCUGGGGAGUGAUCAGAAGAGGCUGGCGUGUGGGCUUCGUUGGUUACAGAGAAAGCAGCCCAGAUUGACUUGCUUGGUCCCUGAGAAAAUCGAAAACUGUCUUGUAACUUACCUUUCUUGUUUAUUUGGAGAAAUUGAACGUUCAGUCGUUGUUAAAUUAGCAAGUUGGUAUUCAAAUC